rnacentral:rRNA from 1 species
UACGGGGGGGGCAAGCGUUGUUCGGAAUUACUGGGCGUAAAGGGCUCGUAGGCGGCCAACUAAGUCAGACGUGAAAUCCCUCGGCUUAACCGGGGAACUGCAUCUGAUACUGGAUGGCUUGAGAUUGGGAGAGGGAUGCGGAAUUCCAGGUGUAGCGGUGAAAUGCGUAGAUAUCUGGAGGAACACCAAUGGCGAAGGCAGCUCGCUGGGACGUUACUGACGCUGAGACGCGAAAGCGUGGGGAGCAAACAGG